rnacentral:rRNA from 1 species
AUUCCAGCUCCAAUAGCGUAUAUUAAAGUUGUUGCAGUUAAAAAGCUCGUAGUUGGAUUUCUGUUCUCGAGGAUCGGUCCGCCUCACGGUGAGCACUGGUUUUUCUUGGGGACAUCCUCUCGAAGGCGGGUGGUGCACUUAAUUGUGUGCUGCUUGGAUUCGGGACCUUUACUUUGAAAAAAUUAGAGUGUUCAAAGCAGGCGUCGGCUUGAAUACAUUAGCAUGGAAUAAUGGAAUAGGACUCUGGUGCUAUUUUGUUGGUUUCGAACACCGGAGUAAUGAUUAAGAGGAACAGUUGGGGGCAUUCGUAUUUCAAUGUCAGAGGUGAAAUUCUUGGAUUUUUGAAAGACGAACUUCUGCGAAAGCAUUUGCCAAGGAUGUUUUCAUUA